GUUGAAACAUUUCCCAAACCAUCACCCUGGUUUGAGGGCAUUUGUCAUCCUGCCUUCCCAUCGCCUGAGCCUGUUUCAAAACUUCUCAAGUCUGUAGCAGGCCUUGGUCGUACAAAGAUCUGUCAAGAGAACUAGACUUGGAAAUGAUAACAGAGGAAGAACAAGAAAAACUUGAUGAAGAUGAAAAUAACCAUGCACAGGUUGAAGAAGAAAAGAAGCACAAAAGUAGUGAAGUGGAAGUAUCAGAGAACAUAUGCGAUGCUGCUGAUGAGAGUGAAUUGUUUCAGUAGAGAAAGAGUGGAGGAAACAGCAACCAGGAGUUUCCUGCUAUGCAUAAUGAGGGUUCUGAUAGGUAAUCCUAUAUCAGUAUUUAACAGCACAUCCCUUGUUACAUUCC
rnacentral:lncRNA from 1 species